GAUGAACGCUGGCGGCGUGCUUAACACAUGCAAGUCGAACGAAGCACUUAUGAUUGAGAUUUCGGUUGAUUUUAUAAGUGACUUAGUGGCGGACGGGUGAGUAACGCGUGGGUAACCUGCCUCGUACGAGGGGGAUAACAGUUAGAAAUGACUGCUAAUACCGCAUAACCCGCUAAGGUCGCAUGACCUGGACGGAAAAGAUUUAUCGGUACGAGAUGGACCCGCGUCUGAUUAGCUAGUUGGUGAGGUAACGGCUCACCAAGGCGACGAUCAGUAGCCGGACUGAGAGGUUGACCGGCCACAUUGGGACUGAGAUACGGCCCAGACUCCUACGGGAGGCAGCAGUGGGGAAUAUUGGGCAAUGGGCGCAAGCCUGACCCAGCAACGCCGCGUGAAGGAAGAA
rnacentral:rRNA from 1 species